GACGAACGCUGGCGGCGUGCUUAACACAUGCCAGUCGAACGGAAAGGCCCCUUUGGGGGUACUCGAGUGGCGAACGGGUGAGUAACACGUGAGUAACCUGCCCUUGACUUCGGGAUUACUUCAGGAAACUGGGGCUAAUACCGGAUAGGAAUCCUUGCUGCAUGGUGGGGGUUGGAAAGCUUCGGCGGUUUUGGAUGGACUCGCGGCUUAUCAGCUUGUUGGUGGGGUAGUGGCUUACCAAGGCUUUGACGGGUAGCCGGCCUGAGAGGGCGACCGGCCACAUUGGGACUGAGAUACGGCCCAGACUCCUACGGGAGGCAGCAGUGGGGAAUAUUGCACAAUGGGCGGAAGCCUGAUGCAGCAACGCCGCGUGCGGGAUGACGGCCUUCGGGUUGUAAACCGCUUUCAGCAGGGGCGAAGCUUGUGGUGACGGUACCUGCAGAAGAAGCACCGGCUAACUACGUG
rnacentral:rRNA from 1 species